rnacentral:rRNA from 1 species
GAUGAACGCUGGCGGCGUGCUUAACACAUGCAAGUCGAGCGAGAAGUUUUGAAAAGAUUCUUCGGAUGAAAUUUAAAAUGGAAAGCGGCGGACGGGUGAGUAACGCGUAGGCAACCUGCCCCAUACAAAGGGAUAGCAUUUGGAAACGAAUAUUAAUACCUUAUGAAACUUAACUAGUGCAUGCUAGGUAGGUCAAAGAUUUAUCGGUAUGGGAUGGGCCUGCGUCUGAUUAGCUAGUUGGUGAGGUAACGGCUCACCGAGGCGACGAUCAGUAGCCGACCUGAGAGGGUGAACGGCCACAUUGGAACUGAGACACGGUCCAAACUCCUACGGGAGGCAGCAGUGGGGAAUAUUGCACAAUGGGGGAAACCCUGAUGCAGCAACGCCGCGUGAACGAUGAAGGCCUUUGGGUCGUAAAGUUCUGUUCUAGGUGAUGAAAACUGACAGUAACCUAGGAGAAAGCCCCGGCUAACUCCGUG